AAACCAGCACCUCAAGUGGUCAGGAUGAUUAUUGGGCCUAAAGCAUCCGUAGCCGGCUCUGUAAGUUUUCGGUUAAAUCUGUACGCUCAACGUACAGGCUGCCGGGAAUACUGCAGAGCUAGGGAGUGGGAGAGGUAGACGGUACUCGGGAGGAAGGGGUAAAAUCCUUUGAUCUCUCGAUGACCACCUGUGGCGAAGGCGGUCUACCAGAACACGUCCGACGGUGAGGGAUGAAAGCUGGGGGAGCAAACCGGAUUAGAAACCCCAGUAGUCC
rnacentral:rRNA from 1 species